rnacentral:lncRNA from 1 species
ACGCCACUGGAAUGUGGUGCCGGGCUGAGGUGACUAGAAAAGCCGCCAAUUUUCCAUGAAAACCACCGGGGAGAAGCCUCAGACUCAGGAAGGUGUCAGUAGAGAAGAGAGGCCUGGGUUCUCUCUGAGGAUCAAGGGACAGGCAGCCGGACUCAAGCAUGCGCAGAAACACUCUUCACCGAUCUUGCCUUUGGGGCAGGGCUGCCUGAAAUGAACGGGCUCCAUUUUUAUUCGGCAGUGCCCUUAGGAAACUUCCACAAGACCAGUUCCCCACCUCCAAGUCUUUGCCCCAUCAACUUAAGCAAAAUUGCAGCUUCCGCUUUGCCUCAAGUACAAGGUCUUCCAAAGAACAAAGGAAAAACAAGUUUUCGUGGCAUACAGCUACAAUCCCAGCACAGGGAGGUGAUGCAGACAGUCAUCUUCCACAUGCUGGAGGGCAGCCUGCCUGACAUAGUGAGACCUCUCAAAACACAGUGGAGCCAAAGGUCGUAUUAACCUCUCAGCCAGUUCCUCUCAGAGCCCUGGUUUCCACUUGCAUCAGGAGACUUGAUACAGAGUGUGUUCAGGCCAAGAGGAGACCUGAAAUGAAAGCCAGCGUCAUCAGGAUUAAUUCAAGCAUGUUACAAUGACUGAAAGCGAUUGUCUCCAGCCCAGGAACCCAAGCACACGGCUCAACCGAUAGCUGGUUGAUGAUUAAUAUCUGUACCACCAUUAAUAUCUGCUCAUGUUUUCCUCUCCGAGAACUUGAUACAUGGGGUAAGGACAAAUAAUGCAAUUUAUGCCUGGAAUGAAAGAUGUUGUUAUUGUUCACAAUGUAUUUCCUUGACGUUCAUACACUAGGGGCUGGAGAGAUGGCUCAGCAGUUAAGAGCUCUUGCGGCUCUGUGCUGCAGGGUAGCAUGAGUGCAAAGGUGAUGCCCCAC